CGGAUCCAGAAAUUUUCAUAAUGGGGGCCCACUGACUGCCAUAAGAAGGGGCCCGCUCCAGUCAUGCUUCAGUGAUUCCCUAUAUGAUCAACCAAAUCUUUUCCACAAAAAAUGGGGGGCCCCUGACUAAAUCCACCUCUGAAAUUCCUUGUUGGUUAAAUUCAGUGUGGUGCACAUUCCUUUUCCACUUUGUGUCUUACUCAGGUAUAUAUGUGUGUCUUACUCAGGUAUAUAUGUGUGUCUUACUCAGGUAUAUAUGUGUGUCUUACUCAGGUAUAUAUGUGUGUCUUACUCAGGUAUAUAUGUGUGUCUUACUCAGGUAUAUAUGUGUGUCUUACUCAGGUAUAUAUGUGUGUCUUACUCAGGUAUAUAUGUGUGUCUUACUCAGGUAUAUAUGUGUGUCUUACUCAGGUAUAUAUGUGUGUCUUACUCAGGUAUAUAUGUGUGUCUUACUCAGGUAUAUAUGUGUGUCUUACUCAGGUAUAUAUGUGUGUCUUACUCAGGUAUAUAUGUGUGUCUUACUCAGGUAUAUAUGUGUGUCUUACUCAGGUAUAUA